rnacentral:rRNA from 1 species
GAUGAACGCUGGCGGCGUGUUUAACACAUGCAAGUCGAACGAAGAAGGUUAGAAUGAGAGCUUCGGCAGGAUUUCUUUCCAUCUUAGUGGCGGACGGGUGAGUAACGUGUGGGCAACCUGCCCUGUACUGGGGAAUAAUCAUUGGAAACGAUGACUAAUACCGCAUGUGGUUCUCGGAAGGCAUCUUCUGAGGAAGAAAGGAUUUAUUCGGUACAGGAUGGGCCCGCAUCUGAUUAGCUAGUUGGUGAGAUAACAGCCCACCAAGGCGACGAUCAGUAGCCGACCUGAGAGGGUGAUCGGCCACAUUGGGACUGAGACACGGCCCAAACUCCUACGGGAGGCAGCAGUGGGGAAUAUUGCACAAUGGGCGAAAGCCUGAUGCAGCAACGCCGCGUAAAGGAUGAAGGGUUUCGGCUCGUAAACUUCUAUCAAUAGGGAAGAAACAAAUGACGGUACCUAAAUAAGAAGCCCCGGCUAACUACGUGCCAGCAGCCGCGGUAAUACGUAGGGGGCAAGCGUUAUCCGGAAUUACUGGGUGUAAAGGGAGCGUAGGCGGCAUGGUAAGCCAGAUGUGAAAGCCUUGGGCUUAACCCGAGGAUUGCAUUUGGAACUAUCAAGCUAGAGUACAGGAGAGGAAAGCGGAAUUCCUAGUGUAGCGGUGAAAUGCGUAGAUAUUAGGAAGAACACCAGUGGCGAAGGCGGCUUUCUGGACUNGAACUGACGCUGAGGCUCGAAAGCGUGNGGAGCAAACAGG